rnacentral:rRNA from 1 species
UAGAGUUUGAUCCUGGCUCAGAUUGAACGCUGGCGGCAGGCCUAACACAUGCAAGUCGAGCGGAUGAAGGGAGCUUGCUCCUGGAUUCAGCGGCGGACGGGUGAGUAAUGCCUAGGAAUCUGCCUGGUAGUGGGGGAUAACGUCCGGAAACGGGCGCUAAUACCGCAUACGUCCUGAGGGAGAAAGUGGGGGAUCUUCGGGCCUCACGCUAUCAGAUGAGCCUAGGUCGGAUUAGCUAGUUGGUGGGGUAAAGGCCUACCAAGGCGACGAUCCGUAACUGGUCUGAGAGGAUGAUCAGUCACACUGGAACUGAGACACGGUCCAGACUCCUACGGGAGGCAGCAGUGGGGAAUAUUGGACAAUGGGCGAAAGCUGAUCCAGCCAUGCCGCGUGUGUGAAGAAGGUCUUCGGAUUGUAAAGCACUUUAAGUUGGGAGGAAGGGCAGUAAGUUAAUACCUUGCUGUUUUGACGUUACCAACAGAAUAAGCACCGGCUAACUUCGUGCCAGCAGCCGCGGUAAUACGAAGGGUGCAAGCGUUAAUCGGAAUUACUGGGCGUAAAGCGCGCGUAGGUGGUUCAGCAAGUUGGAUGUGAAAUCCCCGGGCUCAACCUGGGAACUGCAUCCAAAACUACUGAGCUAGAGUACGGUAGAGGGUGGUGGAAUUUCCUGUGUAGCGGUGAAAUGCGUAGAUAUAGGAAGGAACACCAGUGGCGAAGGCGACCACCUGGACUGAUACUGACACUGAGGUGCGAAACGUGGGGAGCAAACAGGAUUAGAUACCCUGGUAGUCCACGCCGUAAACGAUGUCGACUAGCCGUUGGGAUCCUUGAGAUCUUAGUGGCGCACUAAACGCGAUAAGUCGACCGCCUUGGGAGGUACGGCCGCAAAGUUAAAACUCAAAUGAAUUGACGGGGGGCCGCACAAGCGGUGGAGCAUGUGGGUUAAUUCGAAGCACGCGAAAAACCUUACCUGCCUUGACAUCCUGGAACUUUCC